rnacentral:rRNA from 1 species
AGCGAACGCUGGCGGCAGGCCUAACACAUGCAAGUCGAACGAACCUUUCGGGGUUAGUGGCGGACGGGUGAGUAACACGUGGGAACGUGCCUUUAGGUUCGGAAUAACUCAGGGAAACUUUUGCUAAUACCGAAUGUGCCCUUCGGGGGAAAGAUUUAUCGCCUUUAGAGCGGCCCGCGUCUGAUUAGCUAGUUGGUUGAGGUAAUGGCUCACCAAGGCGACGAUCAGUAGCUGGUCUGAGAGGAUGAUCAGCCACAUUGGGACUGAGACACGGCCCAAACUCCUACGGGAGGCAGCAGUGGGGAAUCUUGCGCAAUGGGCGAAAGCCUGACGCAGCCAUGCCGCGUGAAUGAUGAAGGUCUUAGGAUUGUAAAAUUCUUUCAACGGGGACGAUAAUGACGGUACCCGGAGAAGAAGCCCCGGCUAACUUCGUG